rnacentral:rRNA from 1 species
AGUGAACGCUGGCGGUAGGCCUAACACAUGCAAGUCGAACGGCAGCACAGGAGAGCUUGCUCUCUGGGUGGCGAGUGGCGGACGGGUGAGGAAUACAUCGGAAUCUACUUUUUCGUGGGGGAUAACGUAGGGAAACUUACGCUAAUACCGCAUACGACCUACGGGUGAAAGCAGGGGACCUUCGGGCCUUGCGCGAUUGAAUGAGCCGAUGUCGGAUUGGCUAGUUGGCGGGGUAAAGGCCCACCAAGGCGACGAUCCGUAGCUGGUCUGAGAGGAUGAUCAGCCACACUGGAACUGAGACACGGUCCAGACUCCUACGGGAGGCAGCGGUGGGGAAUAUUGGACAAUGGGCGCAAGCCUGAUCCAGCCAUACCGCGUGGGUGAAGAAGGCCUUCGGGUUGUAAAGCCCUUUUGUUGGGAAAGAAAUCCAGCUGGCUAAUACCCGGUUGGGAUGACGGUACCCAAAGAAUAAGCACCGGCUAACUUCGUGCCAGCCGCCGCAGUAA